UGCCGUCCUGUGUUUCCUAUUUUUGUGAAAAUGAUAAGUAUGACACCCCAGAACGUUGGUGUUGUCAUCAUUUUCUCAAGAAUUCGACUGUCGAGCGAAGAAUGCGCUAGCUGACAAGUUACAACAACUUUCAGUAGCGAGUGAUGGCAGAAGGCGGAGGAGGCCGCAGGGCGAGCGGCCGUUCCAAUGCUCCGCCUCCCGUCGCAAACCAGGAUGAAUUUACCUGGGGUAAAAAUGCAGUAUAUUUAAUGAUGUAGGGAUAAAUGGCUCUCUCUGUCUGUUUGGUUCUGGUAUAUAAGAGAAAAUACUGUUAAGAUUUUUUGCUAUAGUAUUGAAAAUACAAUAUAUUGUUUUUUUAAAAACAUUUAUCAUAACCCUCUAUAUUUACUUGGAAGGAGAGUGAUCAGGAAGAUGAUGACCUGUAGGGAUUUGCUGUGAGACGUAGGUGAAAUUUUGAUGAGUUAGGGAAUGGAGAGAGGGUGGGACCUUAA